rnacentral:rRNA from 1 species
GACGAACGCUGCCGGCGUGCUUAACACAUGCAAGUCGAACGGAAAGGCCCUGCUUUUGUGGGGUGCUCGAGUGGCGAACGGGUGAGUAACACGUGAGUAACCUGCCCUUGACUUUGGGAUAACUUCAGGAAACUGGGGCUAAUACCGGAUAGGAGCUCCUGCUGCAUGGUGGGGGUUGGAAAGUUUCGGCGGUUGGGGAUGGACUCGCGGCUUAUCAGCUUGUUGGUGGGGUAGUGGCUUACCAAGGCUUUGACGGGUAGCCGGCCUGAGAGGGUGACCGGCCACAUUGGGACUGAGAUACGGCCCAGACUCCUACGGGAGGCAGCAGUGGGGAAUAUUGCACAAUGGGCGGAAGCCUGAUGCAGCAACGCCGCGUGCGGGAUAACGGCCUUCGGGUUGUAAACCGCUUUCGCCUGUGACGAAGCGUGAGUGACGGUAAUGGGUAAAGAAGCACCGGCUAGCUACGUG